rnacentral:rRNA from 1 species
UACGUAGGGGGCAAGCGUUGUCCGGAUUUAUUGGGCGUAAAGAGCGUGUAGGCGGCCAAGCAGGUCCGCUGUGAAAACUCGAGGCUCAACCUCGAGAGGUCGGUGGAAACCGUUUGGCUAGAGUCCGGAAGAGGAGAGUGGAAUUCCCGGUGUAGCGGUGAAAUGCGCAGAUAUCGGGAAGAACACCCGUGGCGAAGGCGGCUCUCUGGGACGGUACUGACGCUGAUGCACGAAAGCUAGGGGAGCAAACAGG